rnacentral:lncRNA from 1 species
GGCAUAGGAACUGUUUUCAGAUAACCCGCCAGCUUUCUAGUAGAAUCCUUAGAACUGGAUGACGUAUAACAUGUGCCACUCCAGCUCAUAACUCUCACGUGAAUAUAUGAAAUACAGAGGGAAAGAGAAUGAAGAGCAUCCCCCAUCAUAGUUUUCCCCCAUCAUAUCAGCUUAUGCCAGAAUUCUUUGAAGGGCACUGCCUCCUAAUAUCUAAUAUUAAGCGUUAUUUUAGAGAAUAAAGACAACAGGUACCAGUAUUAAGUUGCUCUUGCCCUUGUUGUCUUAAACGUGUAUAUGCUCUUGUUAAGGCAUUUUGCAGGUCAUUAUGGCACAAAUUACCGACACGUGGCCACACACAGCAAGUGCGACCAAGAGGACGCGUUCUUCUCCGACAAAUCCAGUGGCUUUUAGUGUACACAGUAAGAAAGAAAUCGAACCUGAGGUUGUGGGUGGCAAAUGCAGAAGCGGAUCAUUCUUCCAAACCUCAUUUCCUUCAAAGUUUCCGGCGAACAGAAGCACAAACUCCAAAAUAAAUGAUUGGCACGUAAGGUGGUGAAGGGCAGCAGGAUGGGCCACCCAGAAUAAACCACGUGGGCACGAGGGCUAUUUUGAGCUG